rnacentral:rRNA from 1 species
AGAGUUUGAUCCUGGCUCAGAAUCAACGCUGGCGGCGCGCUUAACACAUGCAAGUCGCACGAGAAAGGGAGCAAUCCUAAGUAAAGUGGCGCACGGGUGAGUAACACGUGGAUCAUCUACCUUUUAGUGGGGAAUACCUCUGGGAAACCGGAGACAAUACCGCAUAAGCCCGCAAGGGGAAAGCAGCAAUGCGCUGAAAGAGGAGUCCGCGGCCGAUUAGCUAGUUGGCGGGGUAAUGGCCCACCAAGGCGAAGAUCGGUAGCCGGCCUGAGAGGGCACACGGCCACACUGGCACUGAAACACGGGCCAGACUCCUACGGGAGGCAGCAGUGGGGAAUCUUGCACAAUGGACGAAAGUCUGAUGCAGCGACGCCGCGUGAGCGAUGAAGCCCUUCGGGGUG